rnacentral:lncRNA from 1 species
GAUCUUCUUUGGAUAUCAAUUCUUGGCUUUUUGAGGUAAAUUUUGUUAAAAUCUAUUCAAAUUACCUCCUAUACAUUCCUAUAUUAUUUAAUUUUCUAAUCUAUUUUAUUUUGUCUUUUUAUGGUCCUACAAAGUAAGUAGAAGCCUAUUUUUUAAAAAGAUAUUAUUAAUAUUUUUUAGUUUAACUAUCUUUUCGACUAUUAUCUAUAUUUUUAAGAUGAUUUGUUAU